ACCAGUGCCUCAAGAAAAAGAGUCACAAGAAAAAAAGGAUUCUUCUCAAAAUCCAACCAUGGUUAGUGUUCUUAUGCUUCCAUGGCUAGCUCACGGCCACAUAUCUCCCUUCCUAGAGCUAGCCAAGAAGCUCACCAAUAAGAACAAUAAUUUUUACAUAUUUAUUUGUUCCACGCCUGUAAAUCUCAGCUCCAUCAAAUCAAAACUCUCUGAAGAAUACUCUCAUUGCAUUGAAUUUGUGGAACUACAUCUUCCACAUAAUGACUUGCCACCUCACUACCACACUACCAAUGGCCUCCCUCCCCAUCUCAUGGCCACUCUCAAAAAGGCCUUUGACAUGGCCAGCCCCAACUUCUCCAACAUCCUCAAAACCCUAAAGCCGGAUUUGCUCAUUUACGAUUUUCUUCAACCAUGGGCACCCUCUCUUGCUUUGUUGCAAAAUAUUCCAGCCAUAGAGUUCAGCAUCAUGAACGCUGCGCUCUUGAGUUCAAUUUGUGCUCACGAUCUCAACAAUCCUACUGCCAAAUUUCCUUUGCAUCUUCGGGAUUACGAUAUUCGAAAGUUCCACAAUCAGUGUGAAUUUUCAUCAAAUGGCAUCAAGGAUGGAGACCGCAUACAGCAAUGCUGUGCUCGAUCUUGUAAGAUCAUUUUGGUAAAGACAUCUAGAGAGAUUGAAGCAAAAUAUGUUGAUUAUCUCUCUGAUUUAGUGAGGAAGAAGAUUGUGCCGGUUGGUCCUCUUGUUCAAGACCCAAUGGAUCAAACACUUGAUGAGGAAACAUGGAUCAUGAAAUGGCUGAACAAAAGGGAGAGGUCUUCAGUUGUGUAUGUUUCCUUUGGCAGUGAGUACUUUUUGUCCAAGGAGGAAAUAGAAGACAUAGCUCAUGGGUUAGAGCUUAGCAAAGUGAGCUUUAUUUGGGUUAUAAGAUUUCCUAAGGAAGAGAAAGGUACUAGGGUUGAAGAGGUGUUACCAGAAGGGUUUUCAGAGAGGGUGGGAGAGAAGGGCCCCCCAGUCAAAAAUAUUGGAGCAUUACAGUGUCGGUGGGUUUGUGAGUCACUGUGGAUGGAGCUCAGUGUUGGAGAGCAUCAAGUUUGGUGUUCCAAUUAUAGCUUUGCCUAUGCUUUAUGACCAGCCAAUCAACGCUAGACUAGUGGAGGAGGUGGGUGUUGGAGUGGAGGUUAAGAGAACAGCAGAAGGCAGUUUGCAAAGUGAAGAGGUAGCAAAGAUGAUUAGAGAUGUGGUGGUGGAGAAAAUUGGAGAGGGUGUGAGAAAAAAGGCAUUGGAAUUAAGAGACAACAUGAAAAAGAAAGAGGAUGGAGAGAUAGAUGGGGUGGUGGAGGAGUUGAUGCAACUGUGCACCAGAUAGGAAUCAAGUACGACGUUUUGCAUAUAAUUUGCAAUUUGUCUAGUAACUAAAAAUAUUAAUGUUGGAUUUGUAUUCUCAGUUUUAAGCGAUGUUGGUUUUCUUUGUAUGUGGGAGAACAAUAUUACUAUGGAGGA